ensembl:lncRNA
CUUUGAUCGCUUGUGCCAGUGUUUGGGUGAAUAAAAGUGAGGCGAGCCAAAGGCGCCAACCUCCUCUGCCUACUAGAGGAAAUGCAGAACUUUGAUGAUGUAUUGAGAGGAGAUACAAACAAUUACAGUAAUGAUUGAAUUUAAAAGGGAUUGAUUGCCCAAUGAUCAAUUCAUUCAAUUAUAUUACUAAGUAAUGAAGAUUACCUAUCUUGGAACAAAAGGACAAUGUUUUUGAUCUUCAUAUUCCAAAGUGUGCAAAAGACUAGAAUUUCAGAUGUAAAAGAGGCUGCCUUUAGGAGUGACAUACAAUUAAAGGGAGAAUGCAAUUGCUGAUAUCUAACACUGAAACUAUAUAGAAAAGGUGAAGAGAGAAG